rnacentral:rRNA from 1 species
GAUGAACGCUGACAGCAUGCUUAACACAUCAGCAAUUGAUUGGUGGCGGACGGGUGAGUAACGCGUAAAGAACUUGCCUCACAGCUAGGGACAACAUCUGGAAACGAAUGCUAAUACAUAAUACUGUGAGAGAGGUUUGCGUCCCAUUAGCUAGUUGGAGAGGUAACGGCCCACCAAGGCGAUGAUGGGUAGCCGGCCUGAGUGGGUGAUCGGCCACAAGGGGACGGAGACACGGAGCUGACACCUACGGGAGGCAGCAGUGGGGAUUAUGGGACAAAGGCCCAUAGUCUGAUCGAGCAAUGCUGUGUGCACGAUGAAGUUUUCGAAAUAUAAAGUGCUUUCAGUUAGGAAGCGUAACCAACAGAAGAGGAGAGGACGAUAUACUUGCAGGCGGCCGCGGAAAUU